UGUCCAGUAUGCUCAGCACUUCAUUAUUGGCUGGUGGCCUGACCAGACCCAAACUCGAGCUGGUCACAUCACACUCUGCUGUCUUACCUAAAGAAACAGUUCAGUUAAAAUGUGAACUAUCUGAACCAAGCAAUGUCUCUGUAAACUUCCACUUGUACAGAGAUGGGAGAGAUGAUAAAAAUAAAUACGCUGGAAACUCAACAACAUUUAAUGUGACUGAGAAUACCUCAGGUCAGUUCCAAUACAGCUGUGGCUAUGACCAGGGGAGCAGCUCCAAAAAAUCACCUGGGAGCAUCCCUGUUAACAUCACUGUGGUAAACUUGUCUCAGCCUAGUAUCUCCUUCAGUUCUUCUGGUGACUGGUUUCACUGGUGGCUUAAAGAGCGAGAGGUGACCAGAGGCUACAGCUUCUCCAUCAUCUGCUCUACUCAACCACAGUAUCCAGGAGGAUCCUUCCACCUGGUGUGUAUUGGUGGAUGCAAUAGGAACAGAACUCAGCCCGCUGUUAACUCCACCUUUAUCUUUGGUGAGGCUGAUUAUGACCAUCAGGGAAGCUACAGCUGUGAUUAUGAAGUAAAUGUUUCUUCACGCAAUUUCGGAUGUUCUAGCAAAGAACUCUUGGCCAUCACUGUGAAAGCAUCGCUGGUUCCCUUCAUAAGUAUUGCAGCAGCAGCAGGACUGCUAUUUGUAUCAAUACCGAUCAUCAUUUUCUGCAUAAGGAAACGGCAGAAGAAGCACAGUAACAGCUACGGUGUCAGAACUUUGGAGGAAAAUGAGAGGACUGAGAUUGAUGAAGAUGAUUAUGAAAAUGCAGCAAUAGCUCUGCAACAGAGAAAAGAUUCGGAUGAAUCUGGUGAAGACUAUGUGGAUAUAGAUGAUGAUUUGGAGAAAAGGCGAGUGGCCAAUAAUACAAAGUUUGCAGGUGAGCAAAUGUAUAAUCUUUUUAGCAAUUUAGUUUAAAACAACAACAACUUGGCAACAUUUUAAAUGCACC
rnacentral:lncRNA from 1 species